rnacentral:rRNA from 1 species
UGGGGAAUUUUGCACAAUGGGGGAAACCCUGAUGCAGCGACGCCGCGUGAUUUAGAAGGCCUUCGGGUUGUAAAAAUCUUUUCUAUGGGAAGAAAAUGACAGUACCAUAGGAAUAAGGACCGGCUAAUUACGUGCCAGCAGCCGCGGUAAUACGUAAGGUCCGAGCGUUGUCCGGAAUCAUUGGGCGUAAAGGGUACGUAGGCGGGUAAGCAAGUUAGAAGUGAAAUCCUGUAGCUCAACUACAGUAAGCUUUUAAAACUGCUCAUCUUGAGAUAUGGAAGGGAAAGUGGAAUUCCUAGUGUAGCGGUGAAAUGCGCAGAUAUUAGGAGGAAUACCGGUUGCGAAGGCGACUUUCUGGCCAUAAUCUGACGCUGAGGUACGAAAGCGUGGGUAGCAAACAAG